rnacentral:rRNA from 1 species
UACGGGGGGGCAAGGCGUUGUUCGGAAUUAUCUGGGCGUAAAGGGUGCGUAGGCGGCCUUCUAAGUCAGACGUGAAAUCCCCCGGCUUAACCUGGGAACUGCGUCUGAUACUGGGAGUCUUGAGUAUGGGAGAGGGAUGUAGAAUUCCAGGUGUAGCGGUAGAAAUGCGUAGAUAUCUGAGAAUACCGGUGGCGAAGGCGGCAUCUGGACCAUAACUGACGCUGAG